CAGCCGCCGCGGUAAUACCGGCGGCCCGAGUGGCGGCCACUAUUAUUGGGCUUAAAGCGUCCGUAGCCGGGUUGGUUAGUCUCCCGGGAAAUCUGGCCGCUUAACGGUCAGAAUUCCGGGAGAUACUGCCAGCCUAGGGACCGGGAGAGGCCGAGGGUAUUCCCGGAGUAGGGGUGAAAUCCUAUAAUCCCGGGAGGACCACCUGUGGCGAAGGCGCUCGGCUGGAACGGGUCCGACGGUGAGGGACGAAGGCCAGGGGAGCAAACCGGAUUAGAUACCCGGGUAGUCCUGGCUGUAAACGAUGCGGACUUUGUGUCGGGCAAGCUAUGAGCUUGUCCGGUGCCGCAGGGAAGCCGUUAAGUCCGCCGCCUGGGGAGUACGGCCGCAAGGCUGAAACUUAAAGGAAUUGGCGGG
rnacentral:rRNA from 1 species